GGGCCCGCACAAGCGGAGGAACAUGUGGUUUAAUUCGAUGAUACGCGAGGAACCUUACCUGGGCUUAAAUGUAGAGUGCAUGAGGUGGAAACACCCUUUCUGGCAACAGACUCUUUGCAAGGUGCUGCAUGGUUGUCGUCAGCUCGUGCCGUGAGGUGUCGGGUUAAGUCCCAUAACGAGCGCAACCCUUAUCGUUAGUUGCCAUCAGGUAAUGCUGGGAACUCUAGCGAGACUGCCACCGUAAGGUGAGAGGAAGGUGGGGAUGACGUCAAAUCAGCACGGCCCUUAUGUCCAGGGCUACACACGUGUUACAAUGGCCGGUACAAAGGGCAGCUACACCGCGAGGUGAUGCUAAUCUCGAAAGCCGGUCUCAGUUCGGAUUGGAGUCUGCAACCCGACUCCAUGAAGUUGGAUUCGCUAGUAAUCGCGCAUCAGCCAUGGCGCGGUGAAUACGUUCCCGGGCCUU
rnacentral:rRNA from 1 species